rnacentral:rRNA from 1 species
UACGUAGGGGGCAAGCGUUGUCCGGAUUUAUUGGGCGUAAAGAGCGUGUAGGCGGCCGUACAGGUCAGCUGUGAAAACUCGAGGCUCAACCUCGAGACGUCGGUUGAAACCGUACGGCUAGAGUCCGGAAGAGGAGAGUGGAAUUCCCGGUGUAGCGGUGAAAUGCGCAGAUAUCAGGAAGAACACCCGUGGCGAAGGCGGUUCUCUGGGACGGUACUGACGCUGAGACGCGAAAGCGUGGGGAGCGAACAGG